GCUCCAGGGACCUGCAGUGCCAUUCCCUCCUAUGUGCUCCCGUGGCCGACCCCAAGAUCCCGCGGUGCGCGGGGUGGAAGUGGGUAGAGUAGGAGGCCAGGGCCAUGGAGCUCUCUCCUAGGCUGGCUCUAAGUCUUGGGCAUCUGUGACAGAGUGAAGGAAGGCCGGGGCUGUAAGGAGGUAAUGUAAGUGCAGACAGGAAGAAGGAAGGUGUUAAUUCUAACCUGGAGAACCCAGGAUCGAGGCCCCGGAGGUAUAGGGCGGCUGGUGGCAAGACUGAGAGCUACCUGAGUGUGGCUUGCAUUGGGCAUCUUCAGGCCCCAGGAAGCUGGGAUCUUGGACUGUAGGGGGUUGGGAAGAGGAGGAGCGAGGCAGUGCAGGGCACCAAGUUGUGGAGGCCUAGGGGUGGACAACCUACAGGGCCUGGCCAAGUGGUGUGUGUGUUACUUCCUGUGGGACCCCCAGGUUCUCUUUGGGAAAGAGGUGAAGGUGGGUGACUUCAUCAGACCUAAGGUUGCCUUGCCCACUGUGGUGGUCACCACCUCCCAAGAGCCCGGGAGGCGAGGCUGGUCCAAACGGAGAAGUGCUGGGUGUGCAGACCGUACACUGGUGUGCCAUAAGUCCC